rnacentral:rRNA from 1 species
CCCUAAGUGUUAACUAAGUGGCAAACGAUGUUUGAGUGCAUAGACAGCCAGGAGGUUGGCUUAGAGGCAGCCACCCUUUAAAGAGUGCGUAAUAGCUCACUGGUCUAGUGCUCGAGCGCGGAUAAUGUAACGGGGCUCAAGUUAACCACCGAAGCUGCGGGUGCACACUUUUGUGUGCGCGGUAGGAGAGCGUUCGCUAUAGGUUGAAGCGGCAGGGGAACCUCGCCGUGGACAGUAGUGAAGUGAGAAUGCUGGCAUGAGUAACGAAAGACAGGUGAGAAUCCUGUCCACCGAUUAUCUAAGGUUUCCUGGGCAACGUUCGUCGGCUCAGGGUUAGUCGGGACCUAAGGCGAGGCCGCAAGGCGUAGUCGAUGGCCAACAGGUUGAUAUUCCUGUACCACGUAGCAAUCGUUAUGACCGAUUGGGGGGACGAGGAAGGCUAGAGCAUCUCCGGCGUUAGUUGUCCGGGGACAAGCGUGUAGGGGGGACCGCGAUAAAUGCACGGUCCCAUUAACCCGAGACGUGAUGUGAGGAGGCUUUCGAGCCUCCGACUGCUUGACGCCAUGCCUCCAAGAAAAGCCUCGUAGGCAGAUUGCGCGUGCCCGUACCAAAACCGACACAGGUGGAUAAGUAGAGAAUACUAAGGUGAUCGAGAUAACCCUCGUUAAGGAACUCGGCAAAAUGGCUCCGUAACUUCGGGAUAAGGAGCGCCCUAUUAGAGUGAAGGCACUUGCUGCUGGAGCUCGAGGGGGCCGCAGUGAAAAGGUCCAAGCGACUGUUUACCAAAAACACAGGUCUCUGCUAAGUCGUAAGACGACGUAUAGGGGCUGACGCCUGCCCGGUGCCGGAAGGUUACGUGGAGAUGUUAGGUUCGCCGAAGCAUCGAAACUAAGCCCCGGUAAACGGCGGCCGUAACAAUAACGGUCCUAAGGUAGCGAAAUUCCUUGUCGGGUAAGUUCCGACCUGCACGAAUGGCGUAACGACUUGGACGCUGUCUCAACGAGGGGCUCGGUGAAAUUGCAGUCUCGGUGAAGAUGCCGAGUACUCGCAGCUAGACGGAAAGACCCCGUGAACCCUUACUGCACCCUGGUAUUGGCAUUCGAUCCAUUUUGCUCAGGAUAGGUGGGAGACGUUGAAGCAUCGGCUGCGGCUGGUGUGGAGUCAACCUUGAGAUACCACCCCUGAUGUAUUGGAUGUCUAACUGGUAACCGUGAUCCGGUGCCGGAACAGUGCCAGGCGGGUAGUUUGACUGGGGCGGUCGCCUCCUAAAAUGUAACGGAGGCGCGCAAAGGUUCCCUCAGUACGGUCGGAAAUCGUACGUAGAGUGUAAAAGCAAUAAGGGAGCUUGACUGCGAGACUGACAAGUCGAGCAGGUGCGAAAGCAGGCUUUAGUGAUCCGGCGGUAGCAAGUGGAAGCGCCGUCGCUCAACGGAUAAAAGGUACUCCGGGGAUAACAGGCUUAUCGGGCCCAAGAGUCCACAUCGACGGCCCGGUUUGGCACCUCGAUGUCGGCUCGUCGCAUCCUGGGGCC